rnacentral:lncRNA from 1 species
UUACUUUGCGUUGGCUUUGUCUUUGUUUGUUCAUGUUGCGCCUGCGAAAUGAGACUUUAUGUUUCACUAGUCGGAGUUUCAUCAAUCAUUCAUCAGCUGUGUAUUUUGUAACAGACACCACAAAUGCAACAUGGUGGCAGAGAAAAUGAGAGGCAGAGAGAGACAGGGAAUUGUUUUCUUCCUUCACACAGACACCAUAUCAUUUGUACUGGAAUCUGAAAAUUGGACCUCUGAGCAUCUUUGACUCCUCUGGAGGUUGGAAAUGCUCUGUGCAGUGAUGGUAUCUGCAGAAUGUCCUGCAGGCUACAAGCAGCAGGAAUCCUAUAAAGAAGGUCAACAAAUAUCCCAGAGAACCAGAGGAAUGGAAAAAGUCUGCCCUCAGACACUUCUCCUUUUUCAACACUCUCCAAACAGAAGACACACCAAUGGAAUGUACAGACAUUGAGACCUUGCAAAGACUUCAGGGUUGGGCAUCUAAGACAGAGAAGAGAGGUAUUUGUGGAAAAAGCUCUUGUGCAAUCAUCUUUCUCCAUCUGUGGUGUGUCUGGAAGAUGACCCCCCCCCCCCCCCCCCCCAUUCCUAGAAAAGGCUGGUUACCACCAUUACACAAGACGACACAAGACCAUUAUCAGUAAUGGCUGGAGAUCCCCCAAGAGGAGCUGGCAGGCAUUGUUGGAUAUGAGAAGGUCUGGGCAUCUCUUCUCCCCUAUGUGUCUAACAUGGCUACAAUGGAAUAUGUGGUUUCCUGAAUUAAUAGCUUGGCUGAAUAAACUGAUACACCAAUACA